UGGGGAAUUUUGGACAAUGGGGGAAACCCUGAUCCAGCCAUCCCGCGUGUGCGAUGAAGGCCUUCGGGUUGUAAAGCACUUUUGGCAGGAAAGAAACGUCAUGGGUUAAUACCCCGUGAAACUGACGGUACCUGCAGAAUAAGCACCGGCUAACUACGUGCCAGCAGCCGCGGUAAUACGCAGGGUGCAAGCGUUAAUCGGAAUUACUGGGCGUAAAGCGUGCGCAGGCGGUUCGGAAAGAAAGAUGUGAAAUCCCAGAGCUCAACUUUGGAACUGCAUUUUUAACUGCCGGGCUAGAGUGUGUCAGAGGGAGGUGGAAUUCCGCGUGUAGCAGUGAAAUGCGUAGAGAUGCGGAGGAACACCGAUGGCGAAGGCAGCCUCCUGGGAUAACACUGACGCUCAUGCACGAAAGCGUUGGGAGCAAACAGG
rnacentral:rRNA from 1 species